rnacentral:rRNA from 1 species
CCCUAUUUUAGUUGCCAUCAGGUUAAGCUGGGCACUCUAAAGAGACUGCCGUCGAUAAGGCGGAGGAAGGUGGGGACGGACGUCAAGUCAUCAUGGCCCUUAUCGUCUAGGGCUACGACACGUGCUACAAUGGGUUAUACAGAGGGCAGGCUAGCUCGCGAGAGUCUGCGAACUCCCUUAAAGUAAUCCUCAGUUCGGAUUGUAGUCUGCAACUCGACUACAUGAAGUUGGAAUCGCUAGUAAUCGCAGGUCAGCAAAACUGCGGUGAAUACGUUCCCGGGCCUU